CAACUGGAGAGUUUGAUCCUGGCUCAGAACGAACGCUGGCGGCGUGCUUAACACAUGCAAGUCGAACGAGAAAGGGACUUCGGUCCUGAGUAGAGUGGCGCACGGGUGAGUAACACGUGGAUAAUCUACCCAAUGAUCUGGGAUAACACUUCGAAAGGGGUGCUAAUACCGGAUAAGCCCACAGGCUCUUUGGAGCUUGCGGGAAAAGGUGGGGACCUUCGGGCCUACUGUCAUUGGAUGAGUCCGCGGCCCAUUAGCUAGUUGGUAGGGUAACGGCCUACCAAGGCAACGAUGGGUAGCUGGUCUGAGAGNNNNNNNNNNNNNNNNNNNNNNNNNNAGUGGGGAAUUUUGCGCAAUGGGCGAAAGCCUGACGCAGCAACGCCGCGUGAGUGAUGAAGGCUUUCGGGUCGUAAAGCUCUGUCAGGGGGGAAGAAACACCUGAAGGUUAAUAUCCUUUAGGCUUGACGGUACCCUCAAAGGAAGCACCGGCUAACUCCGUCCCAGCAGCCGCGGUAAUACGGAGGGUGCAAGCGUUGUUCGGAAUUAUUGGGCGUAAAGCGCGUGUAG
rnacentral:ncRNA from 1 species